rnacentral:tRNA from 1 species
AAGAAAGUAAUUUAAAAUAAAAUUCUUUGUUUCAAACAUAGCUAUAGGUAAAUUUUACCUCUUUCUUG